rnacentral:rRNA from 1 species
CACGUAGUUAGCCGGAGCUUAUUCCUCAGGUACCGUCAAAUUCCUCUUUCUUCCCUGAUAAAAGAACUUUACAUUACGAAUAACUUCUUCGUUCACGCGGCGUUGCUCGGUCAGGGUUCCCCCCAUUGCCGAAAAUUACCCUACCUGCUGCCUCCCGUAGGAGUAUGGACCGUUCUCAGUUCCAUUGUGGCCGUUCAACCUCUCAGUCCGGCUACGCAUCAUCGCCUUGGUAGGCCCUUACCCCACCAACUAGCUAAUGCGCCACAGGCCCCUCCUUAAGCAGAUCUCUCUUUUAAAUAUAAAAGAUUCUUCCUCUAUAUCCUAUCCAGUUUUAUCCAUCGUUUCCAAUGGCUAUCCUCGUCUUAAGGGUAGGUUACCUAUGUAUUACUCACCCGUUCGCCACUAAAGUACCCGAAGGUACUUCCGUUCGACUUGCAUGUAUUAGGCACGCCGCCAGCGUUAAUCCUGAGCCAGGAUCAAACUCU